UGGGGAAUCUUGCGCAAUGGGCGAAAGCCUGACGCAGUAACGCCGCGUGGAGGAUGAAGGCCUUCGGGUUGUAAACUCCUGUCAGGGGGAACGACGGGGACGGGGGGACAACCCCUGUCGCCCAGACGGUACCUCCAAAGGAAGCCCCGGCUAAUUCCGUGCCAGCAGCCGCGGUAAUACGGAAGGGGCGAGCGUUGUUCGGAAUCAUUGGGCGUAAAGGGCGCGUAGGUGGUGCUGUAUGUCUCCCGUGAAAGCCCACGGCUCAACUGUGGGAGGUCGGGAGAAACUGCAGGACUUGAGGCUGGGAGGGGCUGGUGGAAUUCCCUGUGUAGCGGUGAAAUGCGUAGAGAUGGGGGAGAACACUCGUGGCGAAGGCGGCCAGCUAGACCAGUUCUGACACUGAGGCGCGACAGCGUGGGGGAGCAAACAGGAUUAGAUACCCUGGUAGUCCACGCUGUAAACGAUGGGCACUAGGUGCCGGCGGUCUUGAUCCCGU
rnacentral:rRNA from 1 species